rnacentral:rRNA from 1 species
GAUGAACGCUGGCGGCGUGCCUAAUACAUGCAAGUCGAGCGAACGGACGAGAAGCUUGCUUCUCUGAUGUUAGCGGCGGACGGGUGAGUAACACGUGGAUAACCUACCUAUAAGACUGGGAUAACUUCGGGAAACCGGAGCUAAUACCGGAUAAUAUUUUGAACCGCAUGGUUCAAAAGUGAAAGACGGCCUUGCUGUCACUUAUAGAUGGAUCCGCGCUGCAUUAGCUAGUUGGUAAGGUAACGGCUUACCAAGGCAACGAUGCAUAGCCGACCUGAGAGGGUGAUCGGCCACACUGGAACUGAGACACGGUCCAGACUCCUACGGGAGGCAGCAGUAGGGAAUCUUCCGCAAUGGGGGAAAGCCUGACGGAGCAACGCCGCGUGAGUGAUGAAGGUCUUCGGAUCGUAAAACUCUGUUAUUAGGGAAGAACAUAUGUGUAAGUAACUGUGCACAUCUUGACGGUACCUAAUCAGAAAGCCACGGCUAACUACGUG